ensembl:ncRNA lncRNA:CR44608 long non-coding RNA:CR44608
CUUCCGUGGCCAACUGGUAAACUGGUUGUUGGCGCUCUAAUCCAUGCUAGCACUUGGUCGUUGGCCCCGCGGAGGCUCUUAUUAUGAAUAUCUUAAUAACCCAAGAACUGGCUGGUGACGACCCAAAGGGCCUGCCUGAUAGGCAGGACAUGAUAACAAGCGGGAAACCGAGAAGAGCAGCUGCUGCCGGAGGACCAGGCACAAAUUGCGGUCAACAUUAAUUAAAAAUACGUUUUUGGGUGACCCGCGCAGAUUUCCCAGGCGCAGAAUGGGUGGCUGGAUUGGAGGAGGGGACGCGACUGAUGAAAUUGCGGAUCAAGCACAAUGAAAAAAAGUUAAGGGCCGUCGCCCGCAGGAAAGUCCCAGCAAAAGGUAAGUGGAAAAGCAACCUGAGCUGCCCAGAGGUGAGGAUUGCAGUGGCUCGAAAAAAACCUAUGAUAGUUGAUAGUACAGUGGUACCUAGAAAUACUUGCUUAUAGUUGCUUAUAGUAUAGUUUUAUACCAUAUAAGUAAAAAAAGUGUAUGACACAUUUUUUUU